UCGGGAAUUUUGGGCAAUGGGCGAAAGCCUGAUCCAGCCAUGCCGCGUGAGUGACGAAGGCCUUAGGGUUGUAAAACUCUUUCGUCGGGGACGAUAAUGACGGUACCCGCAGAAUAAGCUCCGGCUAACUUCGUGCCAGCAGCCGCGGUAAUACGAAGGGAGCUAGCGUUGUUCGGAAUCACUGGGCGUAAAGCGCACGUAGGCGGAUUAUUAAGUCAGGGGUGAAAUCCCGGGGCUCAACCUCGGAACUGCCUCUGAUACUGAUAGUCUCGAGUCCGGAAGAGGUGGGUGGAAUUCCUAGUGUAGAGGUGAAAUUCGUAGAUAUUAGGAAGAACACCGGUGGCGAAGGCGGCCCACUGGUCCGGUACUGACGCUGAGGUGCGAAAGCGUGGGGAGCAAACAGGAUUAGAUACCCACGUAGUCCCUGAGCGGGCUGGCAAGGCGCAU
rnacentral:rRNA from 1 species